rnacentral:rRNA from 1 species
UACGGAGGGUGCGAGCGUUGUCCGGAAUCACUGGGCGUAAAGGGCGCGUAGGUGGCGCGGGAAGUCAACGGUGAAAGUUCAGGGCUCAACCCUGAAUCGGCCGUCGAUACUCCCGGGCUUGAGCACUGUAGAGGCAGAUGGAAUUCCGGGUGUAGCGGUGGAAUGCGUAGAGAUCCGGAAGAACACCGGUGGCGAAGGCGGUCUGCUGGGCAGUUGCUGACACUGAUGCGCGACAGCGUGGGGGACAA